rnacentral:rRNA from 1 species
AGAGUUUGAUUCUGGCUCAGGAUGAACGCUGGCGGCGUGCCUAACACAUGCAAGUCGAACGAGCGAGAGAUGAAACCUAGUGAAUCUCGAGCGAGUGGCGGACGGGUGAGUAACGCGUGGGUAACCUGCCUUAACAGAGGGGGAUAACAGUUUGAAAAGACUGCUAAUACCGCAUAAGCACACAGUACCGCAUGGUACAGGGUGAAAAGAUUUAUCACUGUAAGAUGGACCCGCGUCUGAUUAGCCAGUUGGCAGGGUAACGGCCUACCAAAGCGACGAUCAGUAGCCGACCUGAGAGGGUGAUCGGCCACAUUGGGACUGAGACACGGCCCAAACUCCUACGGGAGGCAGCAGUGGGGGAUAUUGCACAAUGGAGGAAACUCUGAUGCAGCCGACGCCGCGUGAGUGAAGAAGUAUUUCGGUAUGUAAAGCUCUAUCAGCAGGGAAGAUAAUGACAGUACCUGACCAAGAAGCCCCGGCUAACUACGUGCCAGCCGCUGC